CUACGGGCCGCACCAGUGGGGAAUAUUGCACAAUGGAGGAAACUCUGAUGCAGCAACGCCGCGUGGAGGAUGACACUUUUCGGAGCGUAAACUCCUUUUAUAUAGGAAGAAGAUGACGGUACUAUAUGAAUAAGCGCCGGCUAACUCCGUGCCAGCAGCCGCGGUAAUACGGAGGGCGCAAGCGUUACUCGGAAUCACUGGGCGUAAAGAGCGUGUAGGCGGAUUAAAAAGUCAGAAGUGAAGUCCUAUAGCUUAACUAUAGAACUGCUUCUGAAACUCUUAAUCUAGAAUAUGGGAGAGGUAGAUGGAAUUUCUGGUGUAGGGGUAAAAUCCGUAGAGAUCAGAAGGAAUACCGAUUGCGAAGGCGAUCUACUAGAACAUUAUUGACGCUGAGACGCGAAAGCGUGGGGGGCAAACAGGAUUAGAUACCCGCGUAGUC
rnacentral:rRNA from 1 species